rnacentral:rRNA from 1 species
AUGCGAAGGGAUUGGCAUCGCCUCUCUCUCCUUGAGGGAUUUGGAGGAGCUCUUGGGGCCCUACCUUGUCACUACCUUGGGUUACCGCUCUCACUUAGAAAGCCGAGAAGAAUUGAGAUACAGCCACUUCUGGAUAAGAUCGCUGGAUGCCUACGACCGUGGAAAGGAAAUUUCUUUACCAGACCUGGCCGACUGCUCCUAGUCAAUUUGGUCCUCACCUCUACGCUUACUUUCUACCUCACUGUGUUUGCACUGGAUACAUGGGCUGAGAAGCAAAUUGAUAAGCUGCGAAGAAAAUUCCUUUGGAAUGUUGAGGAUGAGGCAUAUGGUGGAAAAUGCUUGGUUAACUGGAAGCGCAUUUGUGCUCCAAAAUCAGUGGGGGGCCUUGGUAUCAAAGAGAUUGCAGCAUACAGCAGAGCCCUUCGUCUGCGGUGGCCAUGGUAUGAAUGGGACUGUGUCGAUCGCCCUUGGAAAGGCACCCCAACCCCAUGUGAUGACACUGAUCGCCAGCUAUUUGCUGCCUGCACUAGCAUCCAUCUGGGGAAUGGUAGGAAAGCGCGUUUCUGGACUGAUAGAUGGCUGAAUGGAUUGGCUCCGAUGGACAUUGCCCCUGCUUUGUACAAGUUGUCUCAUAGGAAGCUUCUGACUGUACGGGACGGCCUCCAUGAUAAUCAAUGGAUGGCUGGUUUGAUCAGGAUCAACGACGCUUUGACACUCGACUCUCUGCUGAAUCUUUGGAGGCUACAGCAGGUCCUUCUCACUGACUGGGAGGAUAAAAUUUCUUGGAUCCACACCUCGAAUGGAAGCUACAGCACCAAAUCCGCUUACAACAUUCAGUUCAUCACUCGAAUUGCAAUGCCGCUUGCACAGGUUUGGAAGAUCAAGGCUGAGCCUAAGAUCAGAUUCUUCAUCUGGACUUUGCUGCAAAACAGGUUAUGGACCGCUGAUCGCCUUGCGACUCGAGGAUGGUCACACAACGAUCGCUGCAACACCUGUGAUCAGCUAUCGGAGACUGCGCGGCACAUCUUGAUCGAUUGCCCUUUUGCAAAGGGGAUUUGGCAAUCCUUUCACUCUUCUCACCCCGAGGUUGCUUCUGUCCCCCUUGCUGCCACUUCUAUUCAAUCCUGGUGGAUGACUUCAACUAGAUGCAAGACCUUGCACGACAAUCUUCAUGCAUUUACUGUGGCGGCAUACAUUGCUUGGAAUAUUUGGAAUGAGAGAAACAGAAGGGUUUUCCAACAGAAGACGGCAAACGCGCCUGGAGUUCAUAGGAUGAUUAGAGAUGAGAUAGGCCUCUUUGCUGGGGCUUGGGAGUUUUAG